rnacentral:rRNA from 1 species
GAAUUUUCCGCAAUGGGCGCAAGCCUGACGGAGCAAUACCGCGUGAGGGAAGAAUGCCUGUGGGUUGUAAACCUCUUUUCUCAGGGAAGAAAUUUGACGGUACCUGAAGAAUAAGCAUCGGCUAACUCCGUGCCAGCAGCCGCGGUAAUACGGGGGAUGCAAGCGUUAUCCGGAAUCACUGGGCGUAAAGCGUCUGUAGGUGGUUUAUUAAGUCUGCUGUUAAAUAUUGGAGCUUAACUCCAAAAAAGCAGUGGAAACUAUUAAACUAGAGUAUGGUAUGGGUAGAGGGAAUUCCGAGUGUAGCGGUGAAAUGCGUAGAUAUUCGGAAGAACACCAGUAGCGAA